AGAACGAUAAUUGUCGGAUUAGAAGUAGGAAUGAAAUGGCGCAAUCCUGGCUCCUCUGCCAAGAGUGUGUGCAGUGUGGGGGGAAUCCCCUCGCUGAGUCCUGGGUGAUGACGUGUGUUGUUCUAGUAUAUAAGGCUUCGACGAGGCGUGAGAGCUACACUCGCAAACUUUCUAGAGGUCGGAGGAGAGACAGUGGAUUAAGAGAACUUCUCUUCACCCAUCAUGAAGCUGAUCUUUUUGUACUCGAUGCUGGUGGUGGGCCUGUCCGGUCUUUUCCAGCUCGCACAGGCUUUGCCCAAACCCUACCCUAUAGCGCACCCAGAUCCUCGGGACGUGUCCAGUAAAGUUAUUUUCAAGGACGCCAUCGCUAAAGUGUUGAGAAGUGACGCUGUUUUAAUUCAGGUCAGAGCAGAGGUGGUGGACGCCUAUGUUAGGAGAGACAAAAAUCGUUAAGUUAAAGGCGGAUGUAAGAGACUUAGAUCCGAGUGAAAUUGAAGAUAUGAUUAUUGUGAAACCGGAGGAACUGGUUCAGUAUCCAGAAAACGUUGUGGCUCUCAAAUGAUGAGGAGAUUUGAAAUACGGGUGUAUACCAAAGACAAAUGCCACCGCGGCAUUCUUUCUCUUCUUUUUACCCUCCUCGAUUCCUUAGUCUGUCAUUUUUCAGGAAACGGGUUUCCCGUUUCUUUUAGGGUUAAGCACUUAUUUUUCCCUUAUUUUUUCUUGCUAGAUAAAUGCUUGUGUUGCCACCCUCUUGCCUAAAAUAUAAUUUAUUUUGUACGGUUUAAAGAGGAAACCUCACCAUUCUUGUAAAAAAGUUAAUUUAUUUUCUAUUUCUAUUGUUUGUUCGAUAGUUACUUUUGAUUGUACGAUGAAAAUGAAAAUUCAAUUGCAUUAUACUUUUUUAGUUUGAAAGUAGUAGUGCAAAAAUAAAUGACAUUCCAA